rnacentral:rRNA from 1 species
AGCGAACGCUGGCGGCAGGCCUAAUACAUGCAAGUCGAGCGCGCCCUUCGGGGUGAGCGGCGGACGGGUGAGUAACGCGUGGGAAUAUGCCCUUCUCUAAGGAAUAGCCUCUGGAAACGGAGAGUAAUACCUUAUACGCCCUUUGGGGGAAAGAUUUAUCGGAGAAGGAUUAGCCCGCGUUAGAUUAGGUAGUUGGUGGGGUAAUGGCCUACCAAGCCUACGAUCUAUAGCUGGUUUGAGAGGAUGAUCAGCCACACUGGGACUGAGACACGGCCCAGACUCCUACGGGAGGCAGCAGUAGGGAAUCUUAGACAAUGGGGGCAACCCUGAUCUAGCCAUGCCGCGUGUGUGAUGAAGGCCCUAGGGUCGUAAAGCACUUUCGCCAGAGAUGAUAAUGACAGUAUCUGGUAAAGAAACCCCGGCUAACUCCGUGCCAGCAGCCGCGGUAAUACGGAGGGGGUUAGCGUUGUUCGGAAUUACUGGGCGUAAAGCGCACGUAGGCGGAUUAGUAAGUUAGAGGUGAAAUCCCAGGGCUCAACCCUGGAACUGCCUUUAAUACUGCUAGUCUUGAGUUCGAGAGAGGUAAGUGGAAUUCCGAGUGUAGAGGUAAAAUUCGUA